CUCUCGGGAUUUUGAAGAGUGGCGAACGGGUGAGGAACACGUAAGAAUCUACCUUUCGGUUGGGGAUAACUUCUGGAAACGGGAGCUAAUACCCAAUAUGCUGUGGAGUGAAAGAAUUUCGGUGGAGGAUGACUUCGCGGCCUAUCAGCUUGUUGGUGAGGUAAUGGCACACCAAGGCGACGAUCAGUAGCUGGUCUGAGAGGAUGGACAGCCACAUUGGGACUGAGACACGGCCCAGACUCC
rnacentral:rRNA from 1 species